GCUAAACAACUAGCUUAAUUACCUAAAACAACCAAAACAACAUUACAAUAAUUCUAAUAAACCACAACAAAUCAAACUAAAACAUUCUACCGCCCCAGUAUGGGAGACAGAAAAGGCACACUUUCAAAGCCAUAACAAAAGUACCGCAAGGGAACGCUGAAAGAGAAAUGAAACAAAUCAUUAAAGCAUAAUAAAGCAGAGACUCACCCUCGUACCUUUUGCAUCAUGAUUUAGCCAGUAAACCCGAGCAAAGCGAACUUUAGUUCGAAGCCCCGAAACUAAGUGAGCUACCCCGAGACAGCCUAUAAACUAGGGCCAACCCGUCUCUGUGGCAAAAGAGUGGGAAGAUCUCCGGGUAGAGGUGACAGACCUACCGAACUUAGUUAUAGCUGGUUGCCUAAGAAAUGAAUAGAAGUUCAGCCCCAUACUCCUCAACUCACAAAUAUCUCCAAAUAAAACAUGAGCCAGAGAAAUACAUGAGAGUUAGUCAAAGGAGGUACAGCUCCUUUGAAACAGGAUACAACCUUAUUCAGGAGGUUAUGGAUUAUACUAAACAAGAUACACCGUUUCAGUGGGCCUAAAAGCAGCCACCCAAACAGAAAGCGUUAAAGCUCAGACGGAUUAAAAAUCUACUAUUUAAAUAUUUAAUUCAAAACCCCUAACCAUAUUAGGCCGCCCUAUGUUAACAUAGAAGAGAUUCUGCUAAAAUGAGUAAUAAGAAGGAACCCCCUUCUCCUUAGCCUACGUGUAUGCUAGAUAGGACCACCCACUAGCAAUUACCGAACCCAACCGAAGAGGGUAAUGUAUAUACAUUUAAACAUCAAGAAAUCCCCACACAUCCCCAUCGUUAACCCCACACUGGAAGGCUUAAUAUAAAGGAAAGACAAAAAGAAAAGGAAGGAACUCGGCAAACACAAGCCUCGCCUGUUUACCAAAAACAUCGCCUCCUGCCAAAAUCAAUGUAUAGGAGGUCUUGCCUGCCCAGUGAGAAACUUUUCAACGGCCGCGGUAUUUUGACCGUGCAAAGGUAGCGCAAUCACUUGUCUUUCAAAUGAAGACCUGUAUGAAUGGUGGAACGAGGGCUUAACUGUCUCCCCUUUCAAGUCAAUGAAAUUGAUCUGCCCGUGCAGAAGCGGACAUACAAAUACAAGACGAGAAGACCCUUUGGAGCUUUAGAUUACAAGACCAACUAUGUCAAGGACCCCAAACCAAAUCAAACUAAAUAAAACACUGGUCUUUAUCUUUUGUUGGGGCGACCGCGGGAAAAAAUAAAGCUCCCACGAGGACCGAGGCUACUAGCCUUAAAACCAAGAAAGACAUUUCCAAGUCACAGAAUAUCUGACCAUAAAGAUCCGGCCAAGCGCCGACCAACGGACCAAGUUACCCUAGGGAUAACAGCGCAAUCCCCUUCCAGAGUCCAUAUCGACAAGGGGGUUUACGACCUCGAUGUUGGAUCAGGACAUCCUAAUGGUGCAGCCGCUAUUAAGGGUUCGUUUGUUCAACGAUUAAAGUCCUACGUGAUCUGAGUUCAGACCGGAGUAAUCCAGGUCAGUUUCUAUCUGUAACGCUACUAUUCCCAGUACGAAAGGACCGGAAUAAGGAGGCCAAUGCUACAAUCACGCCCCACCCCAACUCAAUGACAUCAACUAAAUUAAACAAAGGGAGAGCAUAA
rnacentral:rRNA from 1 species